UACGGAGGGUGCGAGCGUUGUCCGGAAUCACUGGGCGUAAAGGGCGCGUAGGCGGCUUCUCAAGCGUGUGGUGAAAGUCCGGGGCUCAACCCCGGAUCGGCCGUGCGGACUGGGGAGCUCGAGUUCUGUAGAGGCGGGUGGAAUUCCGGGUGUAGCGGUGGAAUGCGUAGAUAUCGGAAGGAACACCUGUGGCGAAAGCGGCUCACUGGACCAUAACUGACGCUGAGGCGCGAAAGCUAGGGGAGCAAACAGG
rnacentral:rRNA from 1 species